UGCACAUAGGACUGCAAGUGGCUUUGGAUAAAUGCUUCUGCUAAAUGGCAUAUA
rfam:Salmo salar isolate Sally breed double haploid chromosome ssa01, whole genome shotgun sequence.